AUGAACGCUGGCGGCGUGCUUAACACAUGCAAGUCGAACGGGAAACCUUUUAUUGAAGCUUCGGCAGAUUUAGCUGGUUUCUAGUGGCGGACGGGUGAGUAACGCGUGGGUAACCUGCCCUAUACAGGGGGAUAACAAACAGAAAUGGUUGCUAAUACCGCAUAAGCGCACAGGGCCGCAUGGUCCGGUGUGAAAAACUCCGGUGGUAUAGGAUGGACCCGCGUUGGAUUAGCCAGUUGGCAGGGUAACGGCCUACCAAAGCGACGAUCCAUAGCCGGCCUGAGAGGGUGAACGGCCACAUUGGGACUGAGACACGGCCCAGACUCCUACGGGAGGCAGCAGUGGGGAAUAUUGCACAAUGGGGGAAACCCUGAUGCAGCGACGCCGCGUGAAGGAAGAAGUAUCUCGGUAUGUAAACUUCUAUCAGCAGGGAAGAUAGUGACGGUACCUGACUAAGAAGCCCCGGCUAACUACGUG
rnacentral:rRNA from 1 species